AUGAUCGCCAAAGUCGACAAGUACUUGUCGGGGUGGCGUGCGCGCCUUCUCUCCCCUGCCGGGCGGCUCGUCCUCAUCAAUGCCGUCUUGGAUGCUCUUCCCACGUACGCUAUGGCGGCUAUGUUGCUCCCUCCGGCGGUGAUCAAAGCGCUUGACUCGCUGCGUCGUGCCUUCCUUUGGAACGCGGCUGAGCGCGCGUCUGGCGCCCAAUGUUUGGUGGCGUGGGAGCGAGUGUGCCGG
rnacentral:rRNA from 1 species